GAUGAACCAUGUGAAAGUGCCAGUUUUGUGAGUCACCAUUGUGUAUGGUUCAACCUGGUACCUGUCAGUUAUCCAGUCUCGUGUGCCGAUGUCACUGUCACCGUCCUCCUGCUCCAGCAGCGCCCAUGGCUGCCUUCCAGCUGGGCCUGGAUCCUCUGCUAUCGUGGACCCCACCCUGCACGUUCCUGUCUGCAUCUGGAGGCCCCGCGGCCUCUGGCUGUUGGCCUACUAGAGCAAGGCAGACUUUCUCAGCCCAGCAAAGGCGUUGGCUCUGGAGACAAGAAGUUAGAGAGAACUCAAGAAGCCAAUGGAGAAUUUCCCUACAUCCCAGAGGGAUGACACCAUCUCUCCACUUGAAGGGACAGCCAGCCAUGAAUGACCAGCUCCAUGGUGGCAUGCAUGUCCACAAUCUCUACAUGGGAUGUUACCUACUAGAGUGUAGAACACAAGUUUCUAGAUCUUCUCCCUGGAGCUCAUCAACUGAGGUGACUCAGCUACACUCCCCAUUUCUGCUUCUAUUUGUGUGUCUCACUUUACCCACUGCAAACUAACUACCUCUUCCUCUUUUCCCUCUGUGUCCUCUACCUUAAUCUUAGUACUGGAUACCUCUUAGACUCAGCUUAGUUAUUAUUCCUUAUGCUUCCCAGUCUACCUCAUGGGUGUAUUUAUUACAUCUGUUUAAGUUCCAUUUCCAACCUGAUUUUCUCCACGUUUUC
rnacentral:lncRNA from 1 species